UGUUAGGAAUAAACAAAAUAGGAAAUCGGCUAGGCUUAUUUUGCAAACCCUAUCCAGUCCGUCGCCGACUCGCCGCCAUCCUCGAUCCCUUCCAAUCGGAUCCGGCGAUUGGCACUUGCCUCCUGCUCCCCAGCCAUGGCGGGCUCAGAUCGAGUCGAAGAGAGCGACUUUGCGCGCGGCGGGUGGACUUCUGGCCCCGGGAUGCGAGGAGAACGAAGCUUGGGGUCCCGAUGGGGCGAAACAAGACCCGGCGUGUCUCUGGGAGCCGCCACCCCCGCAGCGGCUGGUGCUGGCGAUGCUCACCUCCACGGCUCCACCGGCGUCGCCAUCGAAGACGUCCGCUCCGGGGACGCCGCGCUGGGGCUCCGCUCGUACGAGAUCUCCCUCCACCAUUGAUCUGAACGGGACAUGCAUGGCCUUGGUCCCGCGACAUGAGAGCAGGUAAUAUAAUAAUCUCCUAUCUCCCUGCUCCUGGAAUGAUUUGGUUUGGCCUCCGAUGUGGUUGGUGUUGAGAUUUGCUUGCUCGAGUCAGUGCAAGUACUAGUUCUAUCAUUAGUAGAAAAAUAAGAACUAACGAUGUAGUCAAAAGACUUGUGCCUUUUAUUCAUAAUAAAAAAGUUCAAUAUGACCUGAAUACAAACUGGUAUAGUACAAGGUUUGAAACACUAAUAAACUAGUAAUGCUUAGAAUCGACAAGAAACAAAUGAACUUUAAUUUUGUUCGGCGCCAUAUUUUUGCCAUAUGUGCUCUAUCAAAUCUUCCUUGAGCCGACGAUGGGUCUGUCGAUCUCAAAUCUCACUAUUUUUCUCUAGUACAUAUGCAAAUCCAUAGAUAGGUCCGUGGUGAAGUCCUGCUGUUUGCGGGGAAAAUGGCCCUUGUUCAUACGUGCUUGUCAAUAUUCUAUCAGCUAUCUUUUGGAGUUUAGUCUGGCUACAAUAUUUGUGAACACAUAAAACUUAUCGAUAUUCCAUUAGUACAAGCAGACAAUUACAUUAAGCUUUAACCAUAAACUAAGCAUACAUUAAGCAUUAACCAUACAAAGAGUACAUUAACCAUACAUAGCUAACUUCUUUAGAUAACUUCUUUACUGGUCUUCGAGUUCUUAGAUAAUUUGAGCACCGCAACCUCAUGUCUCUUCAGCUUUUCUGGACUCCAACCACUUUUUCAUCCUUGUUUCUUCCCGUUUUGCUUUGGCCGAUUCUACUUGUGCUUCUGCUGAUUUCAAUAAUGCUUCAGCUCUAAUCUUGAUAGUUUCAUUGUACAACACUAUAUUUUGAGAUGGCAGGUUCCCCAAUGGAGAAGAUGAAGUGCCUUUUCCUUUGCCUUUUAGUCUUUCUUUUGCUUUCUUCUGUCCCUCAAGCAGGAUAGCAUCCAGGUCGCCCAAUAUUCUACCCGUCAGAGGGUACAAUUUUCAAUAGCUGUGAAGAGGUGAGAGAUUUUUUUUAAUCUUUAUUCAUGAGAAAUUGGUUUUGGUGUUCGCUACGGACGAAGUAACAAGAACAACAAGGGUUAUAGGACAAGGCAAGAUAUUGUUUGCUCAUGUGAGGGCUCAUCACGGAUCAGCAAUUGUGCUUCUGUAAGGACUGGGUGUAAAGUGAUGAUAAGGUUGCUUAGAACUAGUGUGAUCAUGGAUGGUAUAUUAGCCGAGUGAACACAAGCCACAACCACAAAUUAUCCGAGGGGUAUGCAGAGAAGAAACAAUGGAAUUCUCACAGAAUGAUAGAUGCAACCAAGUAUUAUCAAGAAACAAAGAGACAACAAUGUGCUGUUACAUUUGGACAGGCAAGAAAUACCAAAGUUUAAUAUAAUGCAAAGAUGGACAAAGGAGGCAAUUGUAUAUAAUAUAAAUCACAGGCACAUGACAGUGAUAUAGGAUCAGAUGCAGAUCAAAUGAGAAAGAAGGCUUUGCUGAUGAUGCAGACACUUCAGUUAGUCCAUGGACCUACUGCUGUUGACGAGCAGAUGUUCAGGAAUGCUAUGGAAGCUUUAAGGGCUCUUCCUGCAGUGCAGUGCACCGAUGGAGUAAUUGUUCAAUCUGGCAUGAGUAGCAUGGACAUUGAGCAUGAGCAGCUCCCUGUUUCUUGUCCUGAAAGGACAAUGAAAGGUGGCCGGCCACUUAGUACUGGACUUAAGGCGUGGCUAUCAAGGAACGAUAAGAAAAGGAUCUCAGAAUGUUCAUCAAGGGAUCCAUUAGCUGAAGACUGGCCUGAGGAAGAGAGGCCUGAUAGGAAGAAGACCCGGCGCAUAAUUGAUAUUUGAUAGGCGAAGAAUGUAGUAUAGUUUAUUUUGAAAUUUGGACGACUCAUUUAUGAUAGUGCAUGCUUGCCUAUAAGAGUGUAUCAGACUUUUCUGUAAUUGGAGUUGAUAUAAUAUAUAUUUUUAAUUCUGAAAUGUGUAA